UUGCAGGGUUUCUGCAGGUUUCACAAAGUCAAAUUUAAGACUUUUUAAGACCUUUUUAAGACCAUUAUGAAUGAAAUUUAAGACCUAUAUCACGACAUAAAAAAAACGUACAAAGGAAACGCAGUCUCAAAAUUACUUGCAAACUAAAUUAAUUUAUUCAAACUGAACAUAGUACUGAAGACAGCUGUUGCAUGCCCCAUGAACUGGGAUCCCAGGUAUCUUGACUGCACCUCCCCGCCCUCCCAAAAACGUAGGUGCAGGUCCAGCUGUUUCGUUUUGGUGGUGCGAUUCAGACUUUCGUCGAACAUCAGCACGAACGGUCCCGUGAUUUUGGAAAUUAGUUCUCUUUUUAUAAAAUCCGCUAUUCCAAAGCGCGUAAUGUAUGACGUUUUAUCUUUCCCGCACCUGAAGGAUUUAGCGAUCUCAGAGUCCGGAAACAUCGUUUGAAACAAUUCCCCGAUUUCCUCAUUCGCACUGUAGGACUGUUGUCUAGUCACCGUUUGGAGAACCCAGAGCACCUCCGCUUUUAGUGUUGGCUCUGACCAAAAGCGACAAGGAGGUCGAUUGCGGGAGUUGCGGAGCUACUGUGUGGGCCUCGCCUAGGCAGUGUAGAAGUAUUGCUGGAGCCGUCAGAUACUUGCAAGAAAUGGCUGAUGGCUGUCGUUUGCUGGAGACCCUUCACAGCAGUUAGAUGUUUAUAACUUUUUGCAUGAGACUCCAGCGCCCGUACACCCAACGUUACCAAUUUAAUUGCUUUCUUGCAUAAGAUGCAGUAGGCUUCAAAUACAUUGUUUGCAACUGACUUUAACCAAGCACUAAAUUCAGGUUUCUCAAGCCAAGUAUCGCUAAACUUACACUUCCCCAUAGCUGAAUAAAAAAUCCGUUUUACAUCUGUCUGUGGUAUCCAAGAGACUCGCGCCAAUAACAUGAAAGCUCAAAGCUGAUUGGUGGUUGCAUAUUGGUCUAUUUUGUAGUCGUAAUACAGCCAAUUAUAUUUGGACUAGCGAAAUAAGGAACUACAACACCACGGAUUAAAUAAAAAAAAAACAUUCCAAAGCGCUGCGGGAGCGUUUCAAUGAGAUUUACAUGGACGUAGGAAAAUUAAGACCUGUUUAAAAUGAUUUAAGACCUAGAACACAAUACUCCAGCAAAUUUAAGACUUUUUAAGGCCUUAAAUUGUGAUUUGGAAAUUUUAGACUUUUUAAGACCCCGCGGAAACCCUGUCAGUUUGGACUCUCAUUCUGACAGCACCCAUUCACUGCAGAGUAUCCUUUGGUGAAUGCUACAUUUCUCCAAAUCUGAUGAAGAAACAAAUUCAUCUACGUCUUAGAUGACCUGAGGGAGAGAACAUUUUUAGCAAAUUUUCGUUCCUUUAGAUUCAUCCAUGCACCAAUCAAAGUCAAUCACAGAUUACAGUGAAUAAACAGGACUCGAUGAAGAGGUGAGCUUCUUGUUUAUUGUUAUCAAGGAGUUCAUGUUGGUUAAUUGCAUUGCUAGCUGAACAACACGAUCAACCCUAUUAGCUUCUGUAAGGCUCACCGUCUGGCACGAGAAGAAAUGCUGCUGGGUUAAACAUACAGUAUAUCUUAAUGGCAAUUACAUAUGUUUAGUAAGUACAUUCUCCUCUACAAGAUAUUCAUGUACAAUAUACAAGUUUUAAAAAUAUAGUUUGCAUUGAGUUCCACAACCGUUUCGUUCUCUUCACGAUGACAAAAAUUCACAUUAGUUGCUUUGGAUCGUAAUGCUUUCCAUGUAGCGAAGAGGACCGUGACAUUUUUUGUUGGUUUCAAAAGAAAGUAAAGGAAGAUAACUGGUCA